ensembl:lncRNA
GGGGUCUUUAUGUUCUCCACGUUGCUCCCUGCCCAGUCACUGUGAGCUAGACCCACCUCUACUGAAGAUGUGGCUUCUAUUAGGUGGCUCUCCCUUAAUGCUACAGGCAUUGUCUCCCAGUUCUAGUACCUCCUUUCUCUUAGGCUUUGGCCUAGUGGGAGAGAAACAAGAGAAAACAAUAUUGGCCCACCAGUUCUGUGAUACUGCUCUGUCCUUCAUGAUAGACGCUGUAAUCAAAACGGGAGCAACUACCGGUUCAUGCCCUGCUCGGAGACCUGUAAGCACGAACCAGGCAGCCCCUGUGCAGAGGACUGACUCCUGGGUGGGAAACCCAGUGACAGCUACGCAGGUUUGCUUUACCCUUUCCUCCUUCCCUGCAGACUCAUCAGCAUGGAAAAGACAGAACAAGACCUCUGACAACAGCUCAGCUGCUGAGGCCACAGAGGGAAAAUUAGAAAGAUAAAAAAUAUAGAUUAUAACAUCAUCAAAAAAGGGGCAUUAGGCCAGGAAGGAGCCUGCUGAGUGUUAUGGGAAGGACUUCACUGGAACCUAAGACAAUGGAGAAGAGAUCUUUAGAAUAUGCGUGCCUGAGUCAGUCCCAGCAAAUGGUCAUGCUGCUCAGAUAAGCUUGUUUCUGGAAGCACAUUGCUUGAAUCAUUCACCUUCCAGAAAUCUGGUUGCAAAAGUGACCAUUCCUAUCACCAUUCCGGUCCUCACGCGUUAUUGACACCCCCACUGCGGGAAAGACACUGUGAUUGGUGUUCCCUCAGGGUAAGAACAUCUAGGGAAAGCUUAGUGCUGCCCAGAUGGACUCUGGCAUCAUUGAUCAAGUGAAAACAGUAAUGUCCCAAGCAAGACGGGAAGAGGAGGCACCAAGAACAAACAUUUAUUUUAAAGCAGUAAUCUUUAUGAAAUAUGCAUGAUACAGCUAGCUGCUGAUAUAAUGCCUGUUACAGCUAUUUCUCGGCCUAUUUGCAAACCCAUCAACCACACUAUGAAGUGGCACUGUGGACAACACAAAAAGGAAUAAUGACAAUUAAAUAAGGCCCAUUGCGUAUUAAGCAUUGCACUUGAACUCAUCCAAUUUCAACAACAGCACUAUGAGAAAAACAUUAUUAUCCCCUUUUUACCAAAGAGGAAACAGAAACUUGGAGAGAUUAUAGAUGUGUUCAAGUGCACAUGAUAAGGGACAGGGCAGAAUCUAACCAACAGUAUUAAACUAAAAUGACUGAGUGGACGCCCUGGCUAUAUAUUUGUGAAAGUAGCACUGGGCAUGACUGCAUAUUCAUAUACCAAGUGCAUAGUCAGUAAAAAAUAUGACUGAGCCAAUACAAGGUCCAAAUGGG